rnacentral:tRNA from 1 species
AGUUAAUAAGCAUUAAAAGCAUUAUAUUUUGAAAAUAUAACAAUAGAAAUAUUAAAAUUUCUAUUAACUU